CAUAGUGGCGCACGGGUGCGUAACGCGUAACCAACCUGCCCUUGACUGGGGGAUAGCCCGCCGAAAGGCGGAUUAAUACCGCAUAAGACCAUAGAGAGGCCUCUUUCCGUGGUUAAAGAUUAUUGGUCAAGGAUGGGGUUGCGUAGCAUUAGCUAGUUGGCGGGGUAACGGCCCACCAAGGCGACGAUGCUUAGGGGACCUGAGAGGGUGAUCCCCCACACUGGCACUGAGAUACGGGCCAG
rnacentral:rRNA from 1 species